AAAUAGGAUUUUUUAAAAUCCUCAACUUACAAAAAUAACAUGUAUU
rfam:Pan troglodytes isolate Yerkes chimp pedigree #C0471 (Clint) chromosome 13, whole genome shotgun sequence.